rnacentral:misc_RNA from 1 species
GUAGGUGAACCUGCGGAAGGAUCAUUAUUGAAAUAAACCUGAUGAGUUGCUGCUGGUUCUCUAGGGAGCAUGUGCACACUUGUCAUCUUUAUAUCUCCACCUGUGCACCUUUUGUAGACCUGGAUAUCUCUCUGAAUGCUAGUCACUCAGGUUUGAGGAUUGACUUUAUGUCUCUCCUUGCAUUUCCAGGCCUAUGUUUCUUUAUAUACCCAAUGUAUGUCAUAGAAUGUAAUCAAUGGGCCUUUGUGCCUAUAAACCUAUACAACUUUCAGCAACGGAUCUCUUGGCUCUC